rnacentral:rRNA from 1 species
UACGUAGGGUGCAAGCGUUGUCCGGAAUUAUUGGGCGUAAAGAGCUCGUAGGCGGUCUGUCGCGUCGGCUGUGAAAACCCGGGGCUCAACCCCGGGCCUGCAGUCGAUACGGGCAGACUAGAGUGUGGUAGGGGAGACUGGAAUUCCUGGUGUAGCGGUGAAAUGCGUAGAUAUCAGGAGGAACACCGGUGGUGUAGACGGCUCUCUGGACCGUAACUGACGCUGAGGCACGAAAGCGUGGGGAGCAAACAGG